UACGUAGGCAGCGAGCGUUGUUCGGAGUUACUGGGCGUAAAGGGUGUGUAGGCGGUUGUUUAAGUUUGGUGUGAAAUCUCCCGGCUCAACUGGGAGGGUGCGCCGAAUACUGAAUGACUUGGAGUGCGGGAGAGGAAAGUGGAAUUCCUGGUGUAGCGGUGAAAUGCGUAGAUAUCAGGAAGAACACCGGUGGUGUAGACGGCUUCUGGACCGUAACUGACGCUGAGACACGAAAGCGUGGGUAGCAAACAGG
rnacentral:rRNA from 1 species